rnacentral:tRNA from 1 species
GGGUUAGUAGCUUAAUAAAAGCGUUUCGUUGAAAACGAAAAAGAUGUUUUUGAAACCAACUCCG